AAAUGCUGACAUUUGUGGUUGUGCAAGCCGUUCAGUGGAGAAACAAUAAAGAAUUACAUAGAAGGCUGAGCCUGUGUAAAAAGAGAUAUGUGUUUCCAGAGCUGCUAGUUCAGCUUAUCUUUUUGAAAGAAAAAACAAGCAAGAUGAUGACUUAUCAUUUCCUGCUGCUGUCACGAAGUAACUGAAAGCCUCCUCCAUAGUCUUUGCCUGAAGCACUUGGGUUCUGUGUUGAUGAGCCAAGAGACAGACAGACAGAAGGACAAAGACCUGGGUGCCACUCACAGCAAACAUCCUAUUGGUUACUAAGUCAUCUCAGGAGGUACCAUAGGGACUUAAGGAGCAUCAAAGCUGUGACCAGUUUGGGGAGCAAGGAGACCCCGAAGGGAAAACUGCCACUCAGAGAAAUGCUUCUGCAGCAAGGUGAUUAUUGGGGGCAUUCCUGACAUGGGAAUCUUUAUGCCAGGACAUUAUGCAAUGCCUGCAGUAUCAGAGGAAUGAACCUGAUGGUUGAAGACAUCCCUUUCCAGAUGCACAUUGCAAAAACAAACCAAAAAAGUCAUUAAUAUAGCAUGGUGUGAGUUAGAUGCACAUAUAUCGAGCACAUUUUUAACUGUGUAUUAGCUGGGUAUUUUUUAGAGCUUAUGACUAUUUUCAUGGAAGAUAUUUGGACUUUUGGUAAACUGAUCUUCUGAAUCAAGAAUAAGUUUCUGUGCUACAGCCUUAAUUUCGUGAUCACUGGUGCUCUUAAAAAGAAGUAAGAAAUUUGUCUUGUAUAAAAUCUCACUGAUCAGUGAAGAACUUGACUGAAGAAGAGAGUCUUAUUAGGCUAAAACGAGGUAGAAUUUGAUAUAAAAAUUGCUCAAGUGUGGAGAGAUACAGCAAGAAAAAUACUGAGAUCCUGGUUGGAAAAUAAGGUUUAUUCAUACAGACUGCUACAACUUUAUCUAGACAAACAAUGACUUCUUGACAUUGAUUAUAAGGUAUGAAUUUUCUUUUGGAUCAUAAUAAGACUGAGCAUAACAAAGAAUGUGACCAGCUUUUCUGUGAAAGCCUUACUGUGGGUGGCAACUUCAAUGAUCACAGAAGACCUGAAAUGCAGAUAAUGUGUGUUCCUGUGGCCCUGGCAGUCUGGACACAGAGAGUGGAGAGCACAUCACGGAAGCCAACACAGAUUCACUCCAGAAUAAACCUACCUGUGCUUUGGAUGCCUGGUAUCGUUGAGCCAUACCCACCUGCCUUGCUCUUCAUCAAAGCUUAAUCCAGUCCAAACAAAGCCAAUGUCUUUAUCCUUCAGUUUGUUUAGGAAAUCCUGGAAAGAGGUAUAUUUUGAACUCCCAUAAUACUUCAUAAGACUCCAGCACCAGUGAUGUAUAGUGAACUGGUACACUCCUGCCACGCCACUUCCUAGUAAAACCACUGCCGCUGUUUGCUCACUCACUCUAUGUCAGGAUUUCUACAUAUCUUGAAUCAACAACUAUGUAGGAUGGAAGGAAUUUCGAAGCCAUCUAGUUCA